UACGAAGGGGGCUAGCGUUGUUCGGAAUUACUGGGCGUAAAGCGCGCGCAGGCGGCUCUUCAAGUCAGGGGUGAAAGCCCAGAGCUCAACUCUGGAACUGCCUUUGAGACUGAAGAGCUUGAGUACGGGAGAGGUGAGUGGAAUUCCCAGUGUAGAGGUGAAAUUCGGUAGAUAUUGGGAAGAACACCGGUGGCGAAGGCGGCUCACUGGCCCGUUACUGACGCUCAGGCGCGACAGCGUGGGGAGCAAACAGGG
rnacentral:rRNA from 1 species